rnacentral:rRNA from 1 species
AUUGAACGCUGGCGGCAGGCCUAACACAUGCAAGUCGAGCGAGCGGCGGACGGGUGAGAAAUGUCUGGGAAACUGCCUGAUGGAGAGGGAUAACUCCUGGAAACGGUAGCUAAUACCCCAUACCAUCAGAUGUGCCCCGAUGGGAUUUGCUAGUAGGGGGGGUAACGGCUCACCUCGGCGACGAUCCCUAGCUGGUCUGAGAGGAUGACCAGCCACACUGGGACUGAGACACGGCCCAGACUCAUACGGGAGGCAGCAGUGGGGAAUAUUGCACAAUGGGCGCAAGCCUGAUGCAGCCAUGCCGCGUGUGUGAAGAAGGCCUUCGGGUUGUAAAGCACUUUCAGCGGGGAGGCGUUACACGCAGAAGAAGCACCGGCUAACUCCGUGCCAGUAGCCGCGGUAAUAC